GCUAGAGAACAACUCACAACAAAAGAGAAAACAAAAAGAUUAGAAUAAAGUCUUCCAAUUGAGUGCGAUAAAAAUAAAUUAUAUUUAGAACUCCAGAAAACAGCUAGAGAGAUCGACGUUUGUCCCACACUUAGAGAGAAGGAGACAAAGAGAAUCAAACGAUGAACAGGGAUUGAGGAGGGAGAAUGGCCGAGGAUUGAGGAACAAGGUCCAAUUUCUCCAACCUACCAAGCGAGCAUAGAGAAACUGCAGCUCCGAUUUCUUUAGCUUCAUCAAACGGCCGUUCUGGCAGGUGGAAGACGAAGAAGAAGAAACGUUUGGGAGGAGGAGCAUGGCACGAGCGUCAAUGAAGAAGAACAAUCGAGUGUGGUUCAUUGGUAUUUUGGUAAUUUCAUAAGGAGAUGGUGUAGCUAAAGACCAAAAGAAUUAUGUUUUCUAAAUAUUGGUCUAAUUUUAUUUGGACGUUGCAUUUUGGGUUAUUCAUAUAAAUUUUUUAAAGGUUAAUGAAUUUAAUAAGUUUCAUAA